CCUGCAGGGCCCACCCUCAGUACUUUGCAUUGUGUGAGAUCCCAGGACCUUUUCGUGAUCCCAGAAGGGGGACAGAUCAUUCCCCACCACCUGGCAGGGUAGAGACUUGGUCUGAUCUAACUGGAUGGAAAGAAAAGCGAUGUGGCGUUUCUUUUACACCUGGUUUUGUGAUUGCGGAUCCACACCUGAUCUCCUAUCCUUCACUGGCUUGGCUCCCUUGCCUCAUCCCUGACUCACGGAGCUUUGCUAGCAAGAGCACAGAAAUAUAUGUAGAAGCAAGAGGGUUGGAGCUCUGCUUGUGACCUGUUAUGUGACCCUGAGUAAAUUCUUUUUCCAUUGAACAGGGAGAGAGAAUGGGCCAGAGGGCCUCUGCCAGCUGACUUGAGGAUUCUAGUGGGUUUGGCUGAACUAGAGUCCAUUACAAAGAGGAAGCCCAGCCCAGAGGGAUUAGGUGGCUUCUCCAAGUCUGCAGAGCCAGUAAGAGACAGGGCGGGACUCAUGCUCUGGUUAGGGGUUCAGAGCAUGAAUUCCGGAGCCAGACUGCUAGGGUUUGAAUCCUGGCUCUGCCAUCUAGCAGCUGGAUGACUUUGGGCAAGCUACUUAAAGUACCUGGACGUCCAUCUCCUCAUCCACAGAACAGGAGGUGACUGUGCCAGAGGACAGCUGGGAGGAGGAGGACUGGAGAAAGCAUGGGACUAACCUGGAGGCAAGUAGGGGAGAGGAAUGGAGCUCCCCUUAUCUCACAAUGGCCCAGAAUCCCCCUGAGCCAGACAGGAGAGACUUGAGAUUUCGGUUUUGCUCUGGGGAAAGAAGCUGAUAAGAAAGGAUAAACUAAGGACACUGAAGAGAAGAGAUAAUGCGGAGAGAUCAGAUGAGGUCUAGAGUACGUGGGAGGAACAGCCUUGGACAGGAAGAGAGACAACCCUCCCUCUGAACGUCAUUCAACCUACAAGAAUUACCUACGGCAACGGCUGGGUGACAGCAGUGAAUACAAUGACCACAUGGUCCCGCACUCAUGGAGCUUGGGCACUAGGAAAGAAGACAGGGAUGGCAAAGGGCACACAGUCCAGGGGGUGGGGAAGUAUGAGACGUUUCUCUUCAUCCCUCUGCUGCUGUGUUUGUGACUAGGCCUGCACGGGGACAUAUAAUCACUUGCCCCCCAUCAGACUACCAGCAAUUUCCUGGGGCAGGAACUAAUGCUUUCCUUAACCCAGCUCUCAGGUUGGGAGUGCUAGCAACCACAGGGGCCCAAGACAGGGCAGCUCCUCUUCUGGCUGCCCUUCCCUAACUUAUUUAGAUUCUACUGGACCUUCCCUGCCCUGCCCUGGUGCCCUCACCUCCGAACACCAGAGAGACUCACUGUCCACGCCCUCUGCUGUUGGGGAGGAGGAAUCCACCUGGAUUUAGAAGACUUGGGCCCUGCUGUUGUUGUUGCCUCUGCCAUUUACAGGCUGUAUUAUCUCUGGCAAGUCCUACAACUCCCUUGAGUCCUAGUUUGUCCAUCUGUAUAAUAGGAUUGAUGAGAACACCUGUCAACUUCUGAGCUCCCAGAGUUGUGGAGACCCUCCAAUGAGGUACAUGUCAACGUGCUUUGUAAAGGACCACACCAUGGCCACAGCUUGAGGCAGGCUUUUGAUUUGGUGUCUGGAGUGAUAGGCAGUUCCUGGUCAGGGUAGCCCAGGUAGCAGGGGGCACAGUCACUGACAGUAUAAAUUUGUAGGGGGAUUAAUUGGCUCCCCCCCCCAAAAAAAACACGGUCUCCACUGUAAUUAACUCUUGCCCUCCCUAUGCUCCCCUAGCCAAUGCAGUAUUUUGCAGGACUGCUUUGUGAAAAGGGGGUUUUUGAAGAGUGUCUAGCUGGAUGGGCUCCAGGCGGCAGCCUAUCAUCCCGACUGAUGAGGCCACAGGCUGGUGCAUGCCAGCGCUGUCCACUCAGAGGGGGAAGGGGCCAUCUCGGGGAGCCAGUGCAGCUGGCAGAGCCCAGGCCCUUGGGGACAAAGUGGCUCUGAGCCGCCUCUCAAUGGGUGCCUGUGUUCUGGGAGUGGGGGCGGGGUGCCCUCAGCCUCUUUUCCCUCUUCUCCCGCCACCCCCCACCCGCCCUUCCUGCUCCCCGCAGGACGUCCUGGUCUGGACACUGGGGCAGAGGAGGUCCUGCACAGGGGAAGGUCGGGCCCUGCCCCUCUAGGGUUGGCCCAUGUGCCUGGGCACUCGGAGGUGGCACCAGGAUCAGGGCUUCUGGGGUCCGGGAUACUGAUUGGGCCCAGGCCGAGGGCGGGCCCAGGGCACGGCCAGGCCUCCCCGGCUGCAGAGUCCGGCGGCCUGCUGUGGCCAUGGUGGCUCGAGCGGGAGGAGCCACCGUGGAGCCGGGGGCGGGGGCGCAGGACAGUACCGGGCUGGGUGAGGGGGUGGGGAAGUGUGAGCCCGGGCUGGGUGGGCGUCGCCGGUGGGUGGCCGCCUGGGCCGGGCGCGGAGCGAGGGGGGCAGGGUUACCGCGGCCCGGGCCUUAGUCCCGCCCUCGCAGGAGGCGGGAGAGGAAACCGAGCCUAGCGGCGGGCUGGGCCCCGCAGCAGCUCCCGCCGGCC